CGUGUAGGCGGUUGGUCAAGUCGGAUGUGAAAGCCCGGGGCUCAGCCUCGGAAGUGCAUCCGAAACUAGCCAGCUAGAGCGCGAUAGAGGAGGGUGGAAUUCCUGGUGUAGCGGUGAAAUGCGUAGAUAUCAGGAGGAACACCGGCGGCGAAGGCGGCCCUCUGGAUCGUUGCUGACGCUGAGACGCGAAAGCGUGGGGAGCAAACAGGAUUAGAUACCCUGGUAGUCCACGCCUUAAACGAUGGGUACUAGGUGUUCGGGGUGUUGACCCCCUGAGUGCCGCAGUUAACGCAUUAAGUACCCCGCCUGGGGACUACGGCCGCAAGGCUAAA
rnacentral:rRNA from 1 species